GACAGAGGGUGCAAACGUUGUUCGGAAUUACUGGGCGUAAAGCGCACGUAGGCGGCUUUGUAAGUUAGAGGUGAAAGCCCAGGGCUUAACCCUGGAAUUGCCUUUAAGACUGCAUCGCUCGAAUUGUGGAGAGGUGAGUGGAAUUCCGAGUGUAGAGGUGAAAGUUCGUAGAUAUUCGGAAGAACACCAGUGGCGAAGGCGACUCACUGGACACAGUAUUGACGCUGAGGUGCGAAAGCGUGGGGAGCAAC
rnacentral:rRNA from 1 species